ensembl:lncRNA
AACUCCUCAGGCUCCUUAAUGCUCUGAUUAAUUGGCUGGUUCGGGCGGAUGGAGGUGCUCCUCUGCUGGGGACCUGGCGGGGUUUCGCUAGAUCAUUUGUUAAUUGUGGGAAGGAAGGUCGUAUUCGGGGAGAGGAAAUCCAGGGCUGGAAAAGUGGGUGAGCGGCGCUGGCACAGGCGGCCAGGAGGGAGCAGAUGAACUGUUCGUUAGGAGCAGCGAGGUAGUCGGGAGCGCUGAGAUUCAGAGACCAGGACCCACUCCCUCUCUGAGCAGCAAAUCGGGAAGAAGAUGCUCAUUCGGUAAGGGCGAGGGAGCCCUGCAAGGCGCCCCACCCCGGGCUCGGUCUAUCCGCGCGCCAAGAUCCCGCUUGGGGCGAGGCGCUGGGUCAGCGUUUAGAGCCACUCCCUGCGCUGGUGGCUGGACAUAGCCUCCCUAUCACACCUCAUCUUCCCCCUUCCCCGACGGCGGAGGUUGUGAAUCUACAGGCCCUUGACGUUGAGGCGUCGGAGGGCGCACCUUUGUAAUUGUGGCCUCACUUCGCCCCUUAAGUACCGCUUCCGGGCGCCGAGGCUGGAUAUGAAAGCCCGGUUCCUAAUCCUCUGCUUUGGCCCCCUCCUCCGGACUGCUGGGACUCCAACCUAGUUCCUCCCCAGUUUCCAUCACUGCGGCGCCAACCCGCGGCUGGGCUGUCUGCGAGAGGGAGCUGAAGGUGCGCGGAAUCCCGAGGUGCCGCUGACCUUCCUCUCAACGCUGACUCUGCGGCUCCCGUCCGGCCAUCUCCCUAUGGGGCAGACUUCCUGUUCUCCCGCUCACAGCAGGGAGGCAGUAGCGGAGCCGGUCAGCAGCUUGCACGGAGUUCUUCACUCUGCGCCCAGCCCCGGGACACAGGUGCAGAUCGCCAGCGGAGCACUGCGGAGUGCUCGCCGUCGUGCACUAGGGAAUCCUAGACGGAGGACUUGGUCCAUUCCACGCAGUCCCAGGCAGGUCCGCAGCGGAGGGACUCAGCGGUCUCCAACCCUUGGUCACGACUUCCGCGACCCUCCACCCCUCGAAGAGACCUGGUCCCGUGGAGCUGUCCCCCUAGGAGCCGCAGCGGGAAUAGCAAGGCAAAGGGGACCACUCAGCCCCCAGGAGGAGCCCAGAAGCGAGAAGGUUGCUGCGGGGAGCCUCUGGUUCCCUCUAGUUCACCUUGGAGCCCAGGAGCUCCCUGGACCAAGGAGUGAACAGACCUGAGGAAGAGCUUCUUAAGGUACAAGCUUAAAGUGUUGCUGCUAGACCUUUCUUCUCUUGUAAUUUACCAAGUGAGGAGUGUUGAAAUAUCCAACUAUAAUUUGUGGAUUUCUCCUUUCAAUACUAUCAUUUUUGGUGCUUCAUGUAUUUUUGAAGCUCUAUUUUUAGUGAUGCGAGACUGGAAAGAGGACAUGGCAUGGAGUCAGAAGAUUUGGGUUCAAGUUCCCGCUCUGCCAAUUACCAGCUGUAUGAUGUUGGGCCAACUGAGCCGCCUUCUCUUCGAGGAAGUUUUCCCUGAAGCCCUGAGGUAGGCCUGUGUUCUUCCAUGGCGGCCACAUCAGCACGCAGCACAUUUAGUUGUCUCCACAUAUGGCUAUUGACUCCUGCCUCACGAAGGCUGGUGCUGUCUCUACAGUGAAUAUUGUGCACCUCAGGGUAGAAUGGAGAGCGCAAGGCUUCAAAUCAGGCAGUCCAGGUUCAGACCCCAAUUCCAGUGCUAAAGAGCUGCGUGACUUUAGGCCGAUUGCGUGUGACUUCCCUGAGCCCCAGUCUCUUUGCCUGCAAAAUGAGAAAACUGAUAACAAUGUCAUCAGUUGUUCUGAGGAUUCUGAGAGGAAUUAGUAGGAGAGGGAACUGAGAAGCUGCAGGCAUCUACAAAGCUAUUCAACUGGCAUUUAGGAAGAUGUUGCCCGUCAGAGUCAGACCUUCUCAGCAUCUUCCGGCUGGGCCCAAACUUCCCAAGACCAUUUGGACAAGGUAAUCUCUAUCCCACCCUGGCCUCCUCCCGGAGGAGGAGAAGAAUCAUGCUGUUACAGAAAAACUGACGAUUUGGGCAAGAGAGCUAAUGGUUAUGUUCUGCAUCGGGUCAGAGAUGGGCUGGGAAAACCACUCCAAAGCCAAGAUAAGCAGUGUCCUGGAAAAAGAAGGCUGCAUGGAGCCCAGAGUGGCCUGGAUCCUGCCUCAUUUCCUGGACCAGCUCCUUAGGUGGUUACUGGAUGGCCAAUAAAGCAGAGCUUAUUAAAGUCAACGAACUCAGGCUUCAUCGCUGCCCUGGUAUCCAAGCACCAGUCUGCCUGGGAUUUCAUUUGCCUGAUGGACAAAGGAGAGGAUGUUCCAAUACAUAUCCUGAGUGGUGGGAGUGGGGAGAGAAGGGGAAGAAUGCUCUCUAGAGAUUUCUCUUUGUCCUCUGAGGUAAAUAGAGGUCAUGUCUUCCCUAACCACACUCAGUGAUCUGAAUCUCUUGGACUGUGGAUUUUUCCUUUACCUGCUGUGAAGUCUUGAAAAGUAUGAAUUAGCUAGAUAAUGAUCCUCUAAAGAUGUACAAGAGUUAAAGAUGUGUUUAAGUUCUUCAAGCAAUCCAAUAUGACUACAGGUUUCCAAAAAUUUGAAGGAAACUGAAAGUCACAGUUCCCAAACCAGAUAUUUUCCGGUGUCCAGAUGUUCAGUGGCAUGCAAACCAAAUGUCUGGAUUAUGAGCUCGUUUUUUCAUUUCUUUUUUUUUUUUCCAGCUUACAUGCAGAUGUUGGGUCCAACUGGUCAGAGGACUGGGGAAGAGAUAGAAAUAAAAUCUAGGGUGUUCAUCUAGAGUCUCCUGCUUCUCUAAUCCUGCUCCCUCUUCACGCUGCUCCCCACAUCCUCCCCAACUCAGCUUCAUGCUACAUCUUGGCAAAUAUAGCUCAUAUCCAGACACAGUGCUGCCCUUGACAGCUGGGUCCACAAAGGCAGGUCGGGUAUAUCUUUAAAGAAAAGUUAUCUUAACCAUUCAGAAGCCUUCCUUCCUCAGAGGAGAGCACCUCCCCAGCAGACCUCCGAGGAGAGCAAGGGCAGGACGGGAAGGAUAGAAGGAAGUUUCAAGACUGCAGGAAACAAGAGCUUGGAGGUCAAGGGAGAGAUCAGAGAAAACAUGAAUCUGAUCAGCAUCCUCGUGGUCUAGAGUGGAGACGAUCUGCAGAGUCAGCCUCAGUAAGGACACAGAUGUUCUGCCAAUUGAAUGGAAACUGUCCAUAGUGGGGAGCAGAGAGCCUCAUCCUGUCUGAACUGGACAUCCAUCCUUAAGGCCAGAGUUCUCCCACCACCAACUUUAACUCCUGCCCUAGCCCUCUCUCUUCCUUUUCAAAACCCUCUCCACCCAGGAAGGGAGAUUCUGGAGCCAAGACUGUACCAGCCACACCUCCCCAGAGUUGUUAAGCAAGGAACCCGAAGCCAGGGGUGGUCCUCUGGCAAUCACCCCCAUUACCAAUAGCAGGACAGAUGUGUUUCUGAUGGACUACACUAUCCCCGGAGGUCACACGAUUCAGGCUGCCAAAGGUACCUGCCCUUGGGAAAUCAACUCCUGAAGGUAAAUUGGGAUUGGGUCCUGAGAAGAUCCAUGGAAGCCCGGAGGACCCUGCCUCUCUCUGUUGCUUCAUGCUGUAGAGGCGGUACUGGGGAGGGCUGCCCACAUCCGGUGGGGCAGCUGGGACCAUACGUUUGAUGACACUCUGCUCCCUCAAUGUGGAGCCUCAUCCUCAUCUCACAGUCCAGCAGGCCUCUGGCGGGAUGGGCUUCUCUCACCCAGUGUGUGAGUUUUUUUGGAAGUGGCCUGAUUUUGGAGUUUCCCUCCAAGCCUUUCCCAGGCACAUGCUUUCUCUCCCAUUCUCUCUUCUUUUAUCAAUCUUCUUAAGUCUGAUUUUCUCCUUUUUCCCUCUGUUGUCUCCAUCUUUUUUCCAGUCUCUCACUUCUCUUUCUUUCUCCUCAUAUUUCACUCUGUUCUCUCACCCCUCCCUUUCCCUUCUGUUUCUCUCCCUCCCUCUCUUCCCACCCCCUGCCUGGCCUUCAAUAUAUCAAGCAAAGUUUUAUCACCUUAUGCAGGGGCAGCCCUGCCACUGCCAUAGAGUUGAUAGGCUAAUGACAUUUUGUGGAUAUUGCUAUGUCACAAGUGCAGGGACAGCAUCAAAAACAGCCCUGAUGUCUAAACCACUUCAGCUAUCUUUUUUAUUUUUUAAAUAAAUAUGUUCACAUGAUUUUAAGAAACUAUAAAAAUGUAUAAAGUAAAAAAAUCUUUCUCUCACACUGUCUCCACCUCUCCUGGUCUCUCCAUUGUGCUUUGAAAGGGGAAACCAUUGUGAUUAGUUUAUUCUAUGUCCUUCCAGAGUGUCUUUAUGCAAAUGAAAAUUAUUGUGAUAAUAUAUUCCUAUUUUUCCCCUUACUACACAAAAGGUAGACUACCAUAAUUCCAUUCUGCACUUUCUUUUAUCACUUGAUAAUAAAAACAUGAUUUUA